CCCCUCAAGAUGAGAUUUCCCAUAGCGUAAGCUAGUAAGAUCCCUGAAAGAUGAUCAGGUUGAUAGGUUCGAGGUGGAAGCAUGGUGACAUGUGGAGCUGACGAAUACUAAUAGAUCGAGGACUUAACCA
rnacentral:rRNA from 2 species